AUUGAACGCUGGCGGCAGGCCUAACACAUGCAAGUCGAACGGUAACAGGAAGAAGCUUGCUUCUUUGCUGACGAGUGGCGGACGGGUGAGUAAUGUCUGGGAAACUGCCUGAUGGAGGGGGAUAACUACUGGAAACGGUAGCUAAUACCGCAUAAUGUCGCAAGACCAAAGAGGGGGACCUUCGGGCCUCUUGCCAUCGGAUGUGCCCAGAUGGGAUUAGCUAGUAGGUGGGGUAACGGCUCACCUAGGCGACGAUCCCUAGCUGGUCUGAGAGGAUGACCAGCCACACUGGAACUGAGACACGGUCCAGGCUCCUACGGGAGGCAGCAGUGGGGAAUAUUGCACAAUGGGCGCAAGCCUGAUGCAGCGAUGCCGCGUGUAUGAAGAAGGCCUUCGGGUUGUAAAGUACUUUCAGCGGGGAGGAAGGGAGUAAAGUUAAUACCUUGGCUCAUUGACGUUACCCGCAGAAGAAGCACCGGCUAACUCCGUG
rnacentral:rRNA from 1 species